rnacentral:misc_RNA from 1 species
GGAAGGAUCAUUAACACGUUCAUUUACUUGAGCGUCUACCCUUUCCAUAUCAUUACUAACUGUGCACUGGUUUUCAACCUCCACACUCUGACCCAGAGGAGACUCUGUGUCGGCUGUGUGUAUGUGUGGCGGUUUCUUCAGAUCCCGCCGCGUACUAAUUUCAUUCACGAUCUUCACACCCAUCCAUAUCUCAAUUGACUUGGUUGACUGAUGGUCUGACGAUUGCAAUCGCGAUCGUCCUCCGUCUGUUGAUGCUAUACUUUAUACAUCAAUAUACUAGUACAACUCUAAGCGAUGGAUAUCUAGGUUCUCGCAACGAUGAAGAACGCAGCGAAAUGCGAUACGUAAUGCGAAUUGCAGGAUUCAGCGAAUCAUCAAAUCUUUGAACGCAAAUUGCGCUCUUGGGUAGGCCUAGGAGCACGCCUCUCUCAGUAUCGGUUCAACACACCCCUCAAUGUGCAUUGCAAUUGUGAUGUGCCAUUGGAGAAUGAGAGUCGAACUCACCGUUCGUCUCUUCAAGUACAUGGAAGACCAGAAAUCACCGCCUUUUCUUUCCGACUCGGCUGUGACAAGAGUAUCGAUCUCGCACACUUGUUGUCGAUAUCAAAUCUGAGUGACGUACAGAAGUCGCCGACGAACAAACAUUCGUGUUUGUUCCGUCCUAUCGCCUCCACGUGUAUCUCAGCUUCGACCAAGUGCUUUGCUUAGGAUCUCAUAUACUGCUCGUUCUGUUUGUCUGCCCCAUCCGGUGUCGCGCUAGCACGCACACCAACGUUGCGUCUGUGGCUGUCCAUCGACAGCUUCAUGAAGCUUCUCAACCUCUGAUCUGAGAUGAAGUGAGACAACCCCCUGAAUUUAAGCAUAUUAAUAAGGGGAGGAAAAGAAAAUAACAAUGAUGCCCCUAGUAACGGCGAGUGAAGCGGGCGGAGCUCAAUGUGAGAAUCGACGAGCCAAACGGGUCGUCGAAUUGUAGCCUAGAGACGUACCAUCAGCGAAGACGAAGAUAGAAGUUCUUUGGAAUGAGAUGCGCUACAGGGUGAGAGCCCCGUGUUCGAUCUUUUUGUUGCUUCGCGUACGAUGUAUGUUCUUCGAGUCGAGUAGUUUGGGAUUGCUGCUCUAAAUGGGAGGUAAGUUUCUUCUAAAGCUAAAUAUUGGCGAGAGACCGAUAGCGAACAAGUACCGUGAGGGAAAGAUGAAAAGAACUUUGAAAAGAGAGUCAAAAGUACUUGAAAUCGCUCAGAGGGAAGCGCUCAACACUAGUGAGUUUGGCGUAUGCAUCGCGGUGUGCCCCGCUGGUGCCGAACGUUCGUUGGUUAACUCGAUGCGUUCGUCACGACACGGAGGUAUGCCGUUCAGCAUGCGUCAUCAGUCAAGAUUCAUUCGGCAACUGUGGGAGAAGGCGGUGAGAAAGGUAGGAGAGCAAUCUCUGUUAUAGUCUCAUCGUUCUACCUCGAGCUGGAUGGAGGAAGAAAGUAGUGCGCCGCUUGCGGCUUCGUCGAUAGGCGCUCGUGGGCGUGUAUGUGGUCAUCGCAAUGCUAUGUCUAUGUGCACGUCUCCGACUCGUCUGUCUGAUGCUAUGUGCUACACCGAUCUUGUACGAAAUGGUGUUGAUCGACCCGUCUUGAAACACGGACCAAGGAGUCUAACAUUCCUGCGAGUAGUCGAGUGAAAAACUCGCUCUGCAUAAUGAAAGUAAAGGUAGCCUUGUGCUGCUGUGGUAGGAAUCCGGUCAAACGGAGGCACUAUCGACCGAUCGUCACUUGUGACAGAUUUGAGUAAGAGCAUGACUGUUGGGACCCGAAAGAUGGUGAUCUAUGCCUGAACAGGGUGAAGCCAGGAGAAAUUCUGGUGGAGGCUCGUAGCGAUACUGACGUGCAAAUCGUUCGUCUGAUUUGGGUAUAGGGGCGAAAGACUAAUCGAACCAUCUAGUAGCUGGUUCCCUC